GUGUAAAAAACGCUGAUGAGUAUGAGCUGAGGUCCAUCGCCUCUGACCCAGAUGACAUUCACAUGUACAACGUCUACGACUUCCAGUUCCUGGUGGACAUCAUUGACGAACUCUCUGUCAACCUGUGUAACAGUGUUAAGGGCUCAGAGGCACCCACCAAUCUGGUGACCUCAGAGGUGACACAGAGCUCCUUUCGUGCCACCUGGACUCCACCCAAUGGCACCGUGGAGAAAUACGAUGUCACUUACAUGAUGGCAGCUGGGGAACGCAUUGAGAAGCUGCAAGUCAAUGGAUCGGUGAGCACGGUAGUGCUAGAAAAUCUAAACCCUCUGACUGAGUACGUCAUCAGUGUUUACGCUGUGGUUGGCAAGCAGAGCAGCGAGCCUCUCAGGGGCACCGAGACCACCCGAGAUGGAUAGGUGCCAUUUGAGCUGGUGGAGGCGUCAUUCAGAAGGAAGUUUAACUCCUCUGCUUCAGCCGUAUGGUCCCAGUUCCCCCAAACCAGUCAGCCACUUAAAAAUACUCCAUCUGUGUUGGACUACGUGUUUCAUGUUGUGGCAUUUCAAAACACAUUUAUAAAUGUGACCACAUUACAAUUCUUGUACUCUCUCUGUUGACCUGAGGAUCAAUAAAAACAACAUGGCUCUCAUGAUCAACAAA